CAGCAGCCGCGGGAAAACGUAGGGUGCGAGCGUUAAUCGGAAUUACUGGGCGUAAAGCGUGCGCAGGCGGUUUUGUAAGACAGGCGUGAAAUCCCCGGGCUCAACCUGGGAAUGGCGCUUGUGACUGCAAAGCUAGAGUGCGGCAGAGGGGGAUGGAAUUCCGCGUGUAGCAGUGAAAUGCGUAGAUAUGCGGAGGAACACCGAUGGCGAAGGCAAUCCCCUGGGCCUGCACUGACGCUCAUGCACGAAAGCGUGGGGAGCAAACAGGAUUAGAUACCCCCGUAGUCCCUGUCUCUUAUAA
rnacentral:rRNA from 1 species